rnacentral:tRNA from 1 species
AUUAAUAUGCCUGAAUUAAAAGGAUUAUUAUGAUAUAAUAAAUAAUGAAAUUUAAAUAUUUCUAUUAAUA